rnacentral:rRNA from 1 species
GACGAACGCUGGCGGCGUGCUUAACACAUGCAAGUCGAACGGAAAGGCCCUGCUUUUGUGGGGUGCUCGAGUGGCGAACGGGUGAGUAACACGUGAGUAACCUGCCCUUGACUUUGGGAUAACUUCAGGAAACUGGGGCUAAUACCGGAUAGGAGCUCCUGCUGCAUGGUGGGGGUUGGAAAGUUUCGGCGGUUGGGGAUGGACUCGCGGCUUAUCAGCUUGUUGGUGGGGUAGUGGCUUACCAAGGCUUUGACGGGUAGCCGGCCUGAGAGGGUGACCGGCCACAUUGGGACUGAGAUACGGCCCAGACUCCUACGGGAGGCAGCAGUGGGAAAGAUUGCACAAUGGGCGGAAGCCUGAUGCAGCAACGCCGCGUGCGGGAUGACGGCCUUCGGGUUGUAAACCGCUUUCGCCUGUGACGAAGCGUGAGUGACGGUAAUGGGUAAAGAAGCACCGGCUAACUACGUG